rnacentral:rRNA from 1 species
UUCGUAGGUGGCCAACUAAGUCAUACGUGAAAUCCCUCAGCUUAACUGGGGAACUGCGCCUGAUACUGGUUGGCUUGAGUGCAGGAGAGGAACGCGGAAUUCCAGGUGUAGCGGUGAAAUGCGUAGAUAUCUGGAGGAACACCGGUGGCGAAGGCGGCGUUCUGGACUGCAACUGACACUGAGGAACGAAAGCCAGGGAGCAAACG